GCUGUUAAUUCCAUAAUAUCAAUGCAUUAGGAACACUGCACAUUCAAUUUCAAAUCAAAAAUUGAUCAACAUUUUGUGUUAUACCUUUACAGAAAGUGAAGAAAAAGGAAUGUUAGGCUUUUCAAAAAAUUAACAGCAUUUUCGAUGUCACCCCACAAAUUUUCUAUAGAAAAAUGCAAACACUGCUAUUUUUUGAACAGCUUAA